CAGCUGUAAACUAUGUGCGUUAGGUGUGUCAGUGACCACGUGUCACUGAGGUGCCGAAGGGAAACCGUGAAACGCACCGCCUGGGGAGUACGGUCGCAAGACUGAAACUUAAAGGAAUUGGCGGGGGGAGCACCACAACGGGUGGAGCCUGCGGUUUAAUCGGACUCAACGCCGGGAAUCUCACCGGAUAAGACAGCUGAAUGAUAGUCGGGAUGAAGACUCUACUUGACUAGCUGAGAGGAGGUGCAUGGCGUAGUCGUGU
rnacentral:rRNA from 1 species